AAUCAAUUCAGAAUAUUCCAAUUCCACCCGCCAUGAAAAUUCAUCAAGGAUAUCCAAAAUAACCAUUUUAUAACUGCCCCCCCCCCCCCCCUCAUAAAUUCCGCGCUUCCGAUAGAAUUUAAUACAAAAUCCCCAAUACGCCAUAUUGAUGUAUAAUUUUUUCACCCCCACACCCCUACCCUGCAUAAUUGAACGUUGUGAAAACUAUCGCGCUGCUAAAUGACUCCCCCUCCAGUUUUCAACAUGGCCGCAAUCAAUAAUUUGACUGGGCAAUGACUGCGAUGACUUGCACAUGCGCACAGCGCCCAAGCCGAGUCAUCGGCAAAACCUGAACUUGACUUGGCGAAACCGAAAGUUGUGGCGAAUGUUUCUGUAGCAUUCUUGGCGUUUACAGACGUCAGAGGGGCACGUGUCUGUGGAGGUACACACGCUUAGAAAAAAAAUUAUGACAUUCUUGAUGAUUUAGAUCAAGAAAAUGAUUUUAAAGAUAAUGACGAAUUUAAAGAAGCAAUAUAUUAAGAAAAAGAAAAUGAUAUUGAUGUCAUUGAAGACAUAGUUUUAAGAAUGAUUAAUUUUGAUGUAAGCGAAACACGCAAAAGUCACGAAAGCGAGAGAGAGGCGAAUAGUGCUUGUACGCCUGACAUAAUAGCUAAAGUUAUAGUUCAGUAACGCCUGAAAGAGGGAUAUGUGGAACGUGAUGAUGAAAUUUUCGACGCAAUUUGUAUUUAAAUUG